UUGAGCUAGGUAUGCAAGACGUUAUAUUGUACAACAGUACUGGUCCUUAACUGCUAAUCAAAUAGCCAAUUACAAUACUGAUCCCUGAGUCAUGAAUAGCCUUUUUGUACUUAGAAUUCAGUGCUGUCAACACCAUUAGACCUGCUAUUGAUCAUUCUCUUUAAAUUUAAAUCAUCCCAAGAAUAUAAACUGUAAAAAGAUUUAUGUGAUAUGGCAGAAAUCAUAGGUUUUGUGUACAGUGCUACCAGGAGAGCAAUGAAACUGUCACGUGAAGCUCGGUGAAGGAAGACAGCAGCGAGAGCAGGAGCCCACAGUUUUGUUUUCCGAAGGGAACUUAUCACUGUUCUUUUGAGGCAUUGCUGGAAGGCUGAGGGAGGGGGAUACAAGGAAAAUACAGCCUGUAUUGGGAUCCUGUCUGCUCGAAGUGAGAAGGGCAGGAGAGUCAUUAUGCAAUAUUCAGCAGCAAGCAACUUUCAGCCAGGCCAGGAAAGGCUCGAUACAGUGCUGCCUGUAGGAUUUAGGAUCUAACUGCUGCAGGGAGUGGUGAUGUGGUCACCAAAGAGAGUUUUUGCUUAGGGAGCUUGCCCUCUGGCAAAAGGGUGAGAUGUAUUUGAUUGGGUCUGCUUCAGAUCUUAGUUGUAUACUGUCCAGUGUUUGGACUGGAGAGUACCUAGAGUCCGGGUAGCUGCUCUCGUGAAGUGCUGAUGUUUCUGAAAAAGGAGAGAGUUCCAAGUCAGAACUGAAGCCUGAGCGUUGCUUUUACUUAAAUGCUGCUUUGAUUGAAAAGAGAAAACAAGCCAUAAAAUAAAGGGUUCUUUUAAGAGUCAGUAUGCUGCUUUUUCUCGAUAAUCCCCUAAAGUCUAAACUUGGCAGAAGGGAGGUAUAAUCUAGGCUUUGCCUGUGCCUCAACUUUCCGUACUUCUCUGUGGCAGAUAUAUCAACUUUCAAAGUUUUUCCAGCCAAUGCACUACUGUUGCAACACACAGGCAAGGAAAGCCUAAAGCAGAUACGAAAUGUGUAAAUGUUGUGCUCGAGUUGGGGGGGGGGUUGGAAGGGAAGAGGAAGUGAAGAAACGAUGUUGAAAUGCAAAUGUUGAGCAACCUUGCGAGCUAUUGCGGGGAUUAAUGGCAGUGACGGGCACAUUGCCAGAGUCUAGUGUAAGGAGAUAAGCAUCUGUCUCAAAACAAAAAACCCACAGCAUCAGUGACAUUUUGAACCAUGUAGUGACACAGUUUUUGGCUAGGGUGAAGUGGGUGCUUUGGGCUAAAAUCACAAACGUUGUCUAGAAAAAAAUUAAACUUUGUGCUCAAGUAAGGGUUAGAGACUGUCCUGCAUUUUUUGCUUUCUCUUCUGCAAGCCCUGAAUGACAUCCAUAAGAAUUUUCAUCCUUGUAGAGGUGGGAGAAGGCAUCCACACAGGUAUUGCAGGACAGAAAGGGAAGCAGGUGAAGGAAGAUGGAAGGGGAGCUGUAGGAUUUCAAGUCCAGUUUCUUUUGUUCUGCCAGAAUCAUUGGGGAACCCAGAAGUUUCUUUCCUGUCCUGUUCUGCCACCAAUACAAGGUGUUGCUGUUGAGGAACUACAGUUACUUGCAAGGCACUAAACUAUAAAGGGCUUCUUGCAGCUCGUGGCGUGACAGGUGGAAGAGAAGUGAGUGAAAGCCAAGUGGUGUACAGAGGAGCUGUAUCCCUGCAGGAGCAGGACUGGAGUGUGGUGUGUCACUGAAUCAGAGACCAAAGACUCCCGUAAGUCCCUUUGUGCAGAGCUGGCACACAUGCUGGCACCGCUGCCCCCAAACCCUCUCCAGGCCCUGCUUGCAGCCACGGACCACAGCUGGUCUCUGAACUGGGACCACUCCUGGGCAAGUCUUUGGUCUUGUGGUAAAUGACAGCAAUCUCCUGGUCCAGUGACAAAUUUGGGUCCCUCAGCUUGUGUUAUUUAAUUUUAUUCUUUUUUUUUUUUUGCAAACAUCUCCUGUAGUCAGUGGAGCACUAGCAGAUAUUACAACACUUCCAUACUUCUCAGAGACUUGUGCCCUGGCACAGUAUGACUGCUGUGAAAUCACCGCGCUGUUCUUUCUACUCAGACUUGGGCAACACGUGUCCUGUGUCCUGCCUGACCAGUGAUGAGGUAGAGUAUAGAAAGCCCAGGUGACCACGUUCCUCUCAAAUAAAGAGAGCAGAAACCAACUGAUGGCACGAAGCCCACAUCCAAGUAGUGUGCUUCAGUGUACUCUCCUACCUGAACUGCUGGAAAAUCAAUGCCUACAGACAGAGUUUGUCUGGCAGGCAGGAGGUGAGUCUGCUGAAAGUCUAUUUAACACCAGGAAUGGAUAGGGGGUGCUCUGAAACUCUAGAGAUUCUGAUAGAUGUCUGUAACAAAAUUACCAGAAAUUCUUUUCUAGAAUAGGUAAAAAAGGCAUGCUAAACUGCAUCUGUACUCAAGAGUGGUUGAGGACAGCUUUCAGAACAUAAAUCCCACCCUUAAAUAGGGGCUUACCUUGCCAGUGUGUUUUCAGGGUUUAAAGAGAUUCUUCUGUUGCUGAAGAACAGCUUCACACUAAGGUACUCUGGCAAUCAAAUUUAGUAAUGCCGUCAAUGUCACCCAACAUCACAAAAACUACAUAGCUAAGUUCUUGGCAUGAAUGCUCAUCAUAAAAUAUGUAGAAUGCUUCAUAAGGGAAAUAAAAUUCAUGGUUGGACCAAAUGUUUUUAUAAAGACAGUCAAAUUCCACUUUAAUUAUGCUCCAGUGCAUGAAUUUAUGAUGACAAAUUUACAUGCCCUUAAUCUAGUGAGCAUAUGCUUUUCAUUAGGCAAUGGGGAUAGAAGCAGUGUGGCUAAGUUAAAUUCAUAGUAAUUUAGCUGGUAACUUCUAGCCAACCCUGUAAGGUCCCUGACUUGAAAGACUUCAGUGCUGCCUACCUACUUACCUGAUCAAACCCCCUUAUUUUAAGUACUUCCUUAAAACACCAUGGUCAAAAGUACUCAAGGAAUUGGUAAAAAAAAAAAAGCCUGUCACAAUACCCGUGUAAUCAAUUACAGCAUUUGGAACAUAGGAGAGCUAAAUGGGAGCUCUUAACUACAUCCUACAGUAGGUCAUCAAUCAAAAUCUUGACUAAUGUACAGCAUCAGCUUGGAAAGAAAAAACCUUUAAGUGAUCAGACAGCUCUCAACUCUUAUUUCUGUCACUUUUAGUCUCAGUUGCAGCAAAAAAAAAAAAAAAAAAGAGGAAAAAAUACAUAAAAACGGCUGUACCAAUUAUUUUCAAUCAACCUAUCUCAAAUGUUUCAGCUAGCUGACAGUGGCAAGAGGAGGCUGCCAGAGCUCCGGGUAGCUGAGCUGCCACCUCCACAGCUGCUGGAGCCCCUCUAACUGGGGCAGCCAACCCCCAGAAAGUCAUCAGCUUUGCAAACAGGCUCCCACGUCAGCUUUUGCCCAAAGACUUCAAGGUGCAAGAAUGAAACAGAGGCAUUGCAGGGGAAAAAAAUAAUGACCCAGUUUCUCCAUGCAAAACAUUAUCAAAGCAGUCGAACGCAGCCAAAUAUGGGACAGCGUUGUGAGUUCCAGCAGGUUCAGAGCCACUUUUGUAUUAAAAAAAAAAAAAAAAAAAAAGAAAAAGAAAAGAAAAAGAAGUCUUUCCCACAAUCGAAGUGUUUAUGGAGUUCGAAAAGGCCCCAUGCCAUCCCGGGUCCAGAGCUGUUCCCGCUGAGGAAGGUCUCCCCCGGCGCGCUCCCACGGGCACCAGCCAGAAGCAGGCUCCUCAGGACACCCCUCGAUCGAGAGGACCGUGUGAAUUAGUUUUCUGGGCUGGCUUGUUCAUGCACCACUUUCAUGAUCUUCAUUUCGUCAGCUUUAACCCACACUCUGCCAGUCCCUGAACCAGGCUAAUCCUGCGUGUUUCAGCACGUGGGGCACCCUGGCAAAGAUUUGGGAUGGGAUGGAGGGGAUUACUUUUGUUUAUUUGUUUAUUUAAAUGCCUCUGCAACUCAAAUGGGGGGGGAAAUUUGGAAAAUCAAAGAGAAUCAGAGUAAGAUUUUGAUGUCUUUCCUUAAAAACUAAGCUAUGAAAAGCACUGAAGUAAAACAGUGAUACAGACUGGUCA